GAUGAACGCUAGCGGCAGGCUUAACACAUGCAAGUCGAGGGGUAUGCCGAUUUAUCGGCAGAGACCGGCGCACGGGUGCGUAACGCGUAUGCAAUCUACCUUUCACAGAGGGAUAGCCCAGAGAAAUUUGGAUUAAUACCUCAUAGUAUAGCAGUUUCGCAUGAAACCACUAUUAAAGUUCCAACGGUGAAAGAUGAGCAUGCGUCCCAUUAGCUAGAUGGUAAGGUAACGGCUUACCAUGGCUACGAUGGGUAGGGUCCUGAGAGGGAGAUCCCCCCACACUGGUACUGAGACACGGACCAGACUCCUACGGGAGGCAGCAGUGAGGAUAUUGGUCAAUGGACGCAAGUCUGAACCAGCCAUGCCGCGUGCAGGAUGACGGUCCUAUGGAUUGUAAACUGCUUUUGUACAAGGAAGAAACNCUAACUGUGAAGUAGCUUGACGGUACUGUAAGAAU
rnacentral:rRNA from 1 species